rnacentral:pre_miRNA from 1 species
UUUGUACUCCCUCCGUCCCAAAAUUCUUGUCUUAAAUUUAUCUAAAUAUAGAUGUAUCUAGUUACAUUUUAGUGUUAGAUACAUCCGUAUCUAAACAAAUGUAAGACAAGAAUUUUGGAACGGAGGGAAUACUAC